UGAAGAGCACUGUUCACCGACAGCGAUGUGAUAGCAAUGGCCCUCAGUUGCUCUCCAAUGCUCCGUUUCUUUUCCGGCCCCAUGAUGCCCACGUAUGAUCAUUGUCAAUGGGUCUGCUUCGAGUACAAACUCCUCACUCCCCAGUUCCUCUUCCAUUUGCACCUCAUCACCUUCCCUCUCAGAAAUCAUCUCAGGUCUACUUCGAACAACCAUUUUAGAAACCUCGAAACCUCGCCUUCCCCUUCUCUCUUAGAAACCUCUUUCUCUAUCUCUCUUCUCGCGAUUCACUCUGUCUCGUCCAACUCUCUCUCUCUUGGCGACUCACUCUGACUUUUUCGGCGAAUUUCCAGACGAAUCUGUGCACGAUGGGGCUCCAGAUCACAACCAAUCGAUUUCUAUUGAACUCAAUUACAUCCUACAAGAAUUUCAUGUGAGUUUUUAUCUCCAUUUUUUGUUGAUUCGGACGAAUUUGGGUUCGUGCAUACGGCGUUUUUUGUUCUUUCUAUUUUUGUUGUGUGAUUAGUGAUUUGUGUUCUUCAUUUUACUAAGAUUUUGGUUUGUGCAGUUUUUAUUUAGAAGUCAUAAUUGUUUCAAUUUAGGUUAAUGCAAGAUUGGGAAUUUGGGAUGAUCAUUUUGAAUUCAAGUUUGUAUGUUCAACUGAUGGUAAUCUAGCGCUCUCAACUUCCAGAUUUGAGAAUUUCGAAUUUGAGUUUUUAUUUUAUUCCUCUUAAUUCAUGUUUAAGAUUUGUGUUUGUGGAGGUGAUUUGAGACGGAUUUCAAGAUGGGUUGUAGAGAUUGAUUCAAAUUGGUGGAUUUGGAUAAGAAACCAGGGAUCCUAUUUGAAAUUUUUUAUCAUUAAAAUAUUUCUUAAGAAUAUUUCUUAAAAAUAAUUUUCUUUAAGACUCAAAAAUUGGAUUGGUUUGUAAUUUAAAAUUUUUAAAUUUUACGAGUUAAAUUAGAUAAAGAGGGGUCGUAAGAGAGGGAGAAAGAGGAGAGAGAAUAAAAGAAAGUAAAAAUGAUUGAAUGAAAGAGAAAGAAGGGAGGAUCGGACGAGAGAGAAAGGAAGAUGAGUGAGAAAGAAUCGAGAGAAUGAAGAAAGUGGAUUAGAGGAGGCAUGAAAAAGGUAAAAAAAAAUAAAAAAAUGAGAGAGAAAGAAGAAAAGAGAGAUAGAUUUAAAGUGAGAGGAGAGGUGAAAGAAAAGAAAUGAGUGAAUUUAAAUUUAAAAACUCUAAAAACUUUUUUUAAUUUUUAUAUUUAUGUUUUUAGAGAAUAUAUUAGGACCUGUUUGGUACUCUACUUAGAUCCAACUUUUUAAACUUAAAAACAAUUUUCAAGUUUUAGGCCUUAAAAACUUGUUUGGUAGGACUAUUUUCAAAACUGAACUCAAGACUAACUUAAAAAUAUAGUCUAUUCUCUAAAAACAUAAAAAGUAAGUUUUUAGAGUUUUUAAACUUAAACUCACUAAUAUCUUUUCUCUCCCUCCUCCCCUCCCACUCCAAAUAUAUCUCUCUCUCUUUUCUUCCUUCUCUUUCCUUUUUUUUUUUACUUUUUUCAUCUCUCAUCUAAUCAGCUAUCUUCAUUCUCUUGGUUCUUUCUCUCAUUCCUCUUCCUUUCUAUCUUAUCCGAGCCUCUCACUUCUUUCUCUUUCCUUCAAUCAUAUCUUACUUUCUUUCCUCAUCUCUCCUCUUUCUCUCUCUCUUGCGAUCCUUCUUUUUAGAUCUCUUUGUCUAGUUUAAGUCGUAAGAUUUAAAAUUUUUAAAUCGCAAACCAAUCACCUUUUUGAAUCUUAAAGAAAAUUGUUUUCAAGAAAUAUUCUUAAGAAAUGUUUUGAGA
rnacentral:lncRNA from 1 species